CUGAUUUCUUCUCAAAAUCCAAAAGCCACAUUUUGUUGGGUUUUUUUUUCUUUUCUCCACGUGAGUUGCAUUUUUUCCAUUUUUCACUAUCCAAAAUUUUGUUUUAUUAAAAAAUCUAAAUUUCAAAAGAGAAUUUAACAAUAACAGAGAUAUUUUCCACCGCCACUAUUAUCUUCGUCACUGUCACCAUCACCACCGACCACCACCUCCGUUUACCA
rnacentral:lncRNA from 1 species